AACGAACGUUGGCGGCGUGCCUAACACAUGCAAGUCGAGCGCGGGCAGGACUUCGGUCCUGUUCCGAGCGGCGCACGGGUGAGUAACACGUGAGUAACCUGCCUCGAAGUUUGGGAUAACCGCCCGAAAGGGUGGCUAAUACCGGAUAAGCCCCCACUGGCACAGGCCAGAGAGGGAAAAGCCUUGGCGCUUCGAGAUGGGCUCGCGUCCCAUUAGCUAGUUGGUGAGGUAACGGCUCACCAAGGCGAAGAUGGGUAGCUGGUCUGAGAGGAUGAUCAGCCACACUGGAACUGAGACACGGUCCAGACUCCUACGGGAGGCAGCAGUGGGGAAUAUUGCGCAAUGGGCGAAAGCCUGACGCAGCAACGCCGCGUGGGUGAAGAAGGUCUUCGGGUUGUAAAGCUCUGUGGGGAGGGGCGAAAACGGCCGGUAAGAAACGACCGGUCCUUGACGGUACCUCCUUAGCAAGCACCGGCUAACUCUGUGCCAGCAGCCGCGGUAAAGUCUAG
rnacentral:rRNA from 1 species